rnacentral:rRNA from 1 species
UACAGGGGGUGCAAACGUUGCUCGGAAUUAUUGGGCGUAAAGCGCGCGUAGGCGGCCACUUAAGUCGGAUGUGAAAGCCCCUGGCUCAACUGGGGAAGUGCACCCGAAACUGAGCGGCUUGAAUGCAAAAGAGGGUCGCGGAAUUCCCGGUGUAGAGGUGAAAUUCGUAGAUAUCGAGAGGAACACCUGCGGCGAAGGCGGGUUGCUGGGCCGACACUGACGCUGAUGCGCGAAAGCUAGGGGAGCGAACGGG